rnacentral:rRNA from 1 species
UGUACGCCGAAGAAUUCGCUCUUACUUUUGGAACAAAGGAUUUACUUAAAAACGCGCAAAAUAUAUGUUAAGUGGAAAAGGAUGUGGGGUUGCACAGACAACUAGGAUGUUAGCUCAGAAGCAGCUAUCAUUCAAAGAGUGCGUAAUAGCUCACUAGUCGAGUGACCCUGCGCCGAAAAUGUACCGGGGCUAAACAUAUUACCGAAGCUUUGGAUUGAUUUAAUCAAUGGUAGGAGAGCGUUCUAUUCAGCGACGAAGGUAUACCGUGAGGAGUGCUGGAGCGAAUAGAAGUGAGAAUGCCGGUAUGAGUAGCGCAAGACAAGUGAGAAUCUUGUCCACCGUAAGACUAAGGAUUCCAGGGGAAGGCUCGUCCGCCCUGGGUUAGUCGGGACCUAAGGCGAGGCCGAAAGGCGUAGUCGAUGGACAACAGGUUGAUAUUCCUGUACUAGAAUGUAUCGUGAAGGAGGGACGCAGGAGGCUAAGGGAAGCCAGUUAAUGGAUUCUGGUCUAAGCCGUGAGGUGUGAGGUGUGUCAAAUGCAUGCUUCUAUAACAUUGAGCGGUAAUGGGGAAGCUACUUCGGUAGCGAAGUCCCUGAUGUCACACUGCCAAGAAAAGCUUCUAGCGAAAAGUACAUUCUACCCGUACCGCAAACCGACACAGGUAGUCGAGGCGAGUAGCCUCAGGUGAUCGAGCGAACUCUCGUUAAGGAACUCGGCAAAAUGACCCCGUAACUUCGGGAGAAGGGGUGCUCAUUUAACAGUGAGCCGCAGUGAAAAGGUCCAAGCAACUGUUUAUCAAAAACACAGCUCUCUGCAAAACCGCAAGGUGACGUAUAGGGGGUGACGCCUGCCCGGUGCUGGAAGGUUAAGAGGAGAUGUUAGCUUCGGCGAAGCAAGCCCCAGUAAACGGCGGCCGUAACUAUAACGGUCCUAAGGUAGCGAAAUUCCUUGUCGGGUAAGUUCCGACCCGCACGAAAGGCGUAAUGAUUUGGAUACUGUCUCAACGAGAGACUCGGUGAAAUUUUAGUACCUGUGAAGAUGCAGGUUACCCGCGACAGGACGGAAAGACCCCAUGGAGCUUUACUGCAGAUUGAUAUUGAGUACCUGUAAGUCAUGUACAGGAUAGGUAGGAGCCGAUGAAGUUGGGACGCCAGUUUCAACAGAGGCGCUGUUGGGAUACUACCCUUGACUUAUGGUUACUCUAACCCGCGCACCUGAUCGGUGUGGGAGACAGUGUCUGUCGGGCAGUUUGACUGGGGCGGUCGCCUCCUAAAGAGUAA